ensembl:snoRNA
AUUUCUUUUUAGUUCAUAAGCACAAUGAUUGCGUGUUCAUGCAUGCUUGUGUGAGAUGUGAUACCCUCGAACCUUGUGAAGACAUUGGCACAUUACCAGUCUGACA